UUCAAAGUGCAAACAUACAUCGUUGAAAAAUAAUGACGAACCGUCAACUGCUCAACCAAAAACAAAACAAAUGUAAACACAAAAGGAAAUAACAAAAAAACCCAAAAACUAAGAACCGAAUACCCAAACCAAAAACCAAAUACCCUAACCACAACAUCAACGAAAACCGACAACAAGAAUGCAACAACGCAAGAACCCAAGAACCCAAACCCAAAACCAUAUCAGACCCAACAACGCAUUUACCUUGCUCCAACGAAGCUUUUGUUCGUGACUUCCCAUCUCCACCAAUCAUCUAGAAUGGAGAACCACUAACCAACCGUCAAACAGAGGAAGCAGGGGGAGAACAACGUAGGGGACAACAAAAUGUGAGAGAGAGAACGAAAUCUGAGACAAAAAUAAGUAAAGGGUAUAUUUGGAAAGGAAAACUCUUUUCGUUUUGGUGCCCAGAUUUUUGAAAAAAAAAAAAUAACCCAACCAAUGGCAACUUGACACGUUUGUGUGUCAAAAGUGUGUCAAAAAAGUUGUGUUAAAAUAACGGAAUCCUUUUAUAAAUAACGACAGUUAAAUUCCACCUCAUAAAAAAAAUCUAUAUCACAAU
rnacentral:lncRNA from 1 species